rnacentral:misc_RNA from 1 species
CCUGUCCCUCAAGCCCGGCUUGUGUAUUGGGCCUACCGUCCCAUGGACGUUGGCCCGAAAGGCAGUGGCGGCGUCGCGUCCUGGCCGUUGAGCGUAUGGGGCUUUGUCACCCGCUUGGAGGCCGGCCGACCCCGUAGCCCCUCGUGGAUUUUCCACAUGUUUUGA